rnacentral:rRNA from 1 species
UGCGUGAGGGCCCGGGGUCCGAUUUUUCGAUGGUAGAUUGGACUAUAUGGCUCUCACGGGUCCAGGGAAUUAGGGUUCGAUUCUGGAGAAGGAGCCUGAGAACGGCUACUACAUCUACGGUAUGUCCCCAUUCCCCGUAAAUUACCCAAUACUGACACAGGGAGGUGGUGACAAGAUAUAACAACGCGGUUAUUAUCGCGAUUGUAGUGAGGGUAUUCUAAACAGAACCUAUAGUACGAUUAGAGGGCAAGUCUGGUGCCAGCAGCCGCGGUAAUUCCAGCUCUAAUAGCGUAUAUUAAAGUUGCUGCAGUUAAAAAGCUCGUAGUUGGAUUUCAAGGAUUUUUAAAUCCCCUCCCGGGAAUACAUCCUACUAGUCUUCGGACUGUUACUGUGAGAAAAUUAGAGUGUUUCAAGCAGGCUUUCGCAGAAUACAUUAGCAUGGAAUACGAAUGUAUUUAGAAUCUUGGUACUCCACCCCACGGACCCCCCGGACGACAGCGGGGGCAUUAGUAUUUAAUUUGUCAGACGGUGAUUUUCUUUGUAUUUGUUAAGACUACGUAUGCGAAAGCAUUUGCAGGAUGUCCUUCAUUCAUCAGGACGAAAGAUAGGGAUCAAGACAAUCGAUACUGUCGUAGUCUAUCUUUUAACUUAUGCGACUAGGGAUUGGAGGGCUCAACCCAUUUCAGUACCUUAUGAAAAUCAGUUUUUGGUUCUGGGGGGAGUAUGUCGCAGACUGACUUAGAUUGACGAGACCACGAUGGACUGGGCUUAUUUGACUCACCGGCACUUACGUCGACUGAGAUGGCA